rnacentral:rRNA from 1 species
UACGGAGGGGGCUAGCGUUGUCCGGAAUCAUUGGGCGUAAAGCGCUCGUAGGCGGACUUUUAAGUCGGUGAAGAAAGACCUGGGCUCAACUCAGGGAACGGCAUCGAUACUAUUGGUCUUGAGGUAAUUAGAGGAUGAUGGAAUUCCCGGUGUAGCGGUGAAAUGCGUAGAUAUCAGGAGGAACACCGGUGGUGUAGACGGCUCUCUGGACCGUAACUGACGCUGAGGCACGAAAGCGUGGGUAGCAAACAGG